rnacentral:misc_RNA from 1 species
AGCCAAUUUCAUAAAUAGAAAUCCAGAUCCAGUACAUCACAUCUAAUGACAAAGACAAGGCCAAUCUCGAUAGAGCAUGAGCCACCUCAUUUUCAGUACGUCUAACUAAAGAGAAAGAAACGACCAUACAGUGAUGAGGCUCGGUGUAGAAUAUCAGCUAUUACUUGAAAGAAAGGUGAUGAACCAGAUGAUUGACCAGUCAGAGCAAGCCACAAUACUUUGCAUUAAACAGAAAAUAAGCAUUCUAAAUCCGUCGUGCCUAUUUCAAUAGAUCCUCUUCUCUAGUGUUCCAAAAAACCAACGGCUAACUCUUUAUUCAUCUAUAACACUUCUAAUCAUGCCAUUUCACAUACAACAAAUUUUGAAUCGAUCCAUACCCUAUAGCUAGCAACCACUCCAUCUUCUAUAAUUAUAUACAAGAUCACUCAACCAAAUAAAAAAAAAAAAAAAAGAAA